AUUGAACGCUGGCGGCAGGCCUAACACAUGCAAGUCGAACGGUAACAGGAAGAAGCUUGCUUCUUUGCUGACGAGUGGCGGACGGGUGAGUAAUGUCUGGGAAACUGCCUGAUGGAGGGGGAUAACUACUGGAAACGGUAGCUAAUACCGCAUAACGUCGCAAGACCAAAAAGGGGGACCUUCGGGCCUCUUGCCAUCGGAUGUGCCCAGAUGGGAUUAGCUAGUAGGUGGGGUAACGGCUCACCUAGGCGACGAUCCCUAGCUGGUCUGAGAGGAUGACCAGCCAAACUGGAACUGAGACACGGUCCAGACUCCUACGGGAGGCAGCAGUGGGGAAUAUUGCACAAUGGGCGCAAGCCUGAUGCAGCCAUGCCGCGUGUAUGAAGAAGGCCUUCGGGUUGUAAAGUACUUUCAGCGGGGAGGAAGGGAGUAAAGUUAAUACCUUUGCUCAUUGACGUUACCCGCAGAAGAAGCACCGGCUAACUCCGU
rnacentral:rRNA from 1 species